rnacentral:tRNA from 1 species
GCCCGAGUGGCGGAAUAGGCAGACGCAGCGGACUUAAAAUCCGCCGACCUUUAGGUUGUGCCGGUUCGACUCCGGCCUCGGGCACCA